rnacentral:tRNA from 1 species
AGUCCUGUGGCCCAGCGGCGACGGCAACUCUCUUACAAAGAGUCGAUCGGGGGUUCGAGUCCCUCCAGGACUAC